AAGAACAGGAAAAGGUUGCGUGCUAUACUUACUUCCUCCUCCCGUUUCUUCCCUCGUCUAGCAAAAAUGGACAUCGUCUCAUCCAUGGGGAAGAUUGAUCCAGAAAUCCGCCGGGGUGCGACGCCGAGUCGCCGCUAGUUCCAAUCCCACGCGUGGCGUCGACGCCUCUCCCUCUCUCCACUCGCCGAUCCCCCAAAAUGAAAUCCUCGAUCUAGCCGCUGGCUAUACAUUCUGUUCCCCUUUUGAUUGUAUACCUUCUAGUCCUUCAGUUUGUCAGCACUAAUUCUUAUCAUGCUAAACAACCUGGAAGUGAGAGAGAAGCAACCACCACGGGAUACAUCAGAUGUUCAGUGAGGUGAUGUAGGUGUUGUGUAGAGAUGGGUGGUAGUGGAGUCGUCAAGGAGAUUGCCUGAGCUGAAUCGGCUCCUAGUAACUCGUCAAAAACUACCCCACACGGACGGGAAACUUUUUUGAAGAGAGGUGCAUGGAUAGGAACCUGGCUGACGUAACUAAGACUCUCUAAAAUAGAGAAAGAUGCUGAACCAAGUCUAAAGCUCGCUGAGCACGGCUGGUCCGAUGCCUGUUGGCUGGUUUUCUUUUACCAUGGAGGUUGUAAAAGGUUCACUGUAGAUUUUUGAUAUACCUUCAUUAGCCCAGCCAUACCGGUUUCAUGGUGAACGAAAUAGGCAACAUGGAGGUUGGAUGCUUAGAUGAUGUUAUGAUAAGAUUAGUUGCUCAACAACUAUAGCAUGAGCAUGGGUAACAUCCAAAUUCCACAAAUUAGUCAUGUAUUAGUGUGUACUCA